rnacentral:rRNA from 1 species
GUCUACGGCCAUGCCACCCUGAACAUGCCCAAUCUCUUCUGAUCUCGGAAGCCAAGCUGGUUCGGGCCUGGUUUGUACUUGGAUAGGAGACCACCUAGGAAUACCAGGUGCUGUAGGUG